rnacentral:lncRNA from 1 species
AACUGACUGAGAACUGGCUCCUGUAUGCACGCCCGGUCUUAAGAAGACAAAAUUAACAGAUGCUCCGUGUUCAGUUAAUGGCCUGGCAGGUGGACGGUCCCACUUUCUCCUGUCCCCAGAGGCUGACACUAUUCCACAAUGUUGCUGAGAGCCCCAGCUCUGUUGAACAUCGGUGAUUUUAAGCCGUUCUCCCUCCCCCCUUCUGCACGAGUUGCAGUUACAGGCAACUUGUUACAGCGCUUCUUACAAGGAACUCUGAAGCAGGGGCGAAUGAGCCCAAAGCAACACUAGGCAUGAUGUGCCUUGUUUAUCUGUUUAAACAGGCGGAAAGGAGAGAGACAGAGGCCUGUGGGUUUCCUGCCCUUCUUCUAUAAGAGGUGGAUCUCUCUGAGUGGCCACGCAGGAGGGAGAAGCUGCCACAUGUUAUAACAGAAGCCACUGGGCUUGGCAGGACAGAGAACGGAAGAAUUACAAUGGAAUGGCAGUUUCUCCAUCACUGCAGAGCUUCGCUGUGAGUGGCCAUUCUCAAACAUAGAUGGCCCUGACCCGAAGCUUCUCCAGAUAUUGGUUCAGACUGGUGUGGCACACAAGUCAGAAGAAACGAUCCUGGUGACAUCAGGUGAAUCAGGUGACAUCAUCAAGAAGGAAAGUCAGUCAAGUGUGGUCAUCUCAAAGCAUGGAUGGAGAAGAUACCUUAGAAGCAGGGCUGGGUGGAUUAAAACCCA